rnacentral:rRNA from 1 species
AUUGAACGCUGGCGGCAGGCUUAACACAUGCAAGUCGAGCGAGCGGCGGACGGGUGAGUAAUGUCUGGGAAACUGCCUGAUGGAGGGGGAUAACUACUGGAAACGGUAGCUAAUACCGCAUACCAUCAGAUGUGCCCAGAUGGGAUUAGCUAGUAGGUGGGGUAAUGGCUCACCUAGGCGACGAUCCCUAGCUGGUCUGAGAGGAUGACCAGCAACACUGGAAAUGAGCAACGGGCCAGAUCCUGACGGGAGGAAGAAGUGGGGAAUAUUGCACAAGGGGGGCAAGCCUGAUCCAGCCAUGCGGAGUGUGUGAAGAAGGCCUUCGGGUUGUAAAGCACUGUCAGCGGGGAGGCGUUACGCGCAGAAGAAGCACCGGCUAACUCCGUGCCAGCAGCCGCGGUAAUUC